CUGUGAGUUUCUUUUUCAAGACUUCUUCCUCUUCUUUAGUUAGCUUGGGCUCUGUUUUUUGCAAACCACAGAAUAAAUCAUAAGUCUUCUUGAGACAUCCACGAGGUUUCUCCGUUUGAUCUGGAACAAAGAAAGGGAAAUAAACCAUCACCAAAUAUGGAUGAACAUCUGUUUAGUGUUGUAGAGAUGUCUGUAAACGGUGACCACAAUUUUUAUAAGAGCCAGAAGAAUACUGAGAAAAUAUUUGUAAAUUUGACUAUAUAAAGGUUGAAAAGUAUCCCCCAAAGUGAGUUUAAAAAGUGACUAAAUGGGGGUAACAAGGGGAAGGGAUUUGCAUGCAAUACCACAGAGGCUUUUCUGGUCUCAACAUACAACGGGUUUUUGAAAUUAAAAAAAGAAAAGAUCAUUUAGAGAGCCAUUUAAAUACUAUAGAGUUGACAAACAACUUAAAAAAUAAGUUAUCUUAAGAUCACUUCAAAAAUUAAAAAUAUAUUACAAUACUUGUUUUCACAAUUGUUGGCAAAAAUUCCAGUAAUGUGCUUCAUGAAAAUAUCUUUGUGACACUAUCCUAGGAUCUUGGCGUGUGUAAAGAGAGCCGAGGCAUCCCUCCUGCUGUAGCUUUACUGGGUAGAAUACUAAGAAAUGAGGUUGAGGCUAGACACUUGAUCAAAAGAUGUGAAGAUGGAAGUCACAUGUAACUGAAUGUCAUCUCAGCACCUGGCGGGUAGAAGGAUACACACCAGGUGGUCGAUAAAAUACAAAAGAAGAUAAAAAUGUAUAUAUCGAAAUCCCCAGGAAGCCGCACUAUGGAAACCAAUACUGCAAGAUGGCGAGCACGAAGACAGCUGCGAUAGGAGGCCCCAGGUAGCUAGAGAUGGACUCUGUAUAGUGGAUCAGCUGUCCACCCUGAGAUACUUCUACGAUGGGGACCCACAGGAUGCUGGUGACAAUCAACACAGCGACAAACAGCCUAUAAAAAUAAUUAAUUACAGACAUUAAACGACAGCACCGCAUGUGUAUUUGCUGAGUUUUUAAAUUUAUCCCUGAGCCAUUCAUUCAUGCUCAAAAUAAAACUAUGUUCCCUGAACUGAUAGGAACCCACGCUGUGCUAACCGUCUGCUGGUUCACCGUCGACAAUUCUUACCUAAACCUGCCGUAAAGCUUCAGUUAGAGAGAACUGAAGGAGUUUCCGUAAGAAACUUCCGUAAGAUGCUUCCCAAGCCACUUCGAUUGCUUUCUGUCACACGCUCGAGUGGUCCAGCAUGAGCUGGCUUCUGGAUACCUUGGUAAGCUGUGUUCACCUUGUUUUCUCACUUUCUCCCUGGGGACAGCCUUAUUCCUUGUUACAAAGCUGCCACAUGCAUGGCUUGCAUGGUGUUCUCACUGUUCCUGUCCCACAUAGCCACGGACUCCCCUGCCGCAACUUCAAGACUUCACUCAAGUGCCACCUCCACAGGGACACUUCCUGGCCUUAGGUCCCUGGCAUCCUUUCACUCUGGCUUACUUUUGUCUCCUCCCCCUACUAUUUUUAGAUUAUUUUCAUAAAAUUUAUUCUGAUUCUGAUUCACCUGCUGCAGCUGUGUUUAUCUAUCUGCCCUACAGAGACAUAGCGUGCUUACAUGAAGCAAGCAUUUUUUUUUUUUUUACAUUUGUAUUUUGGGAGAUUGACAUUUGAUAAGAAAGAUGAAACAGAUAUUACUUUGUCAGUGAGAUUUGAAAAGGAUUUGCCUCCAAGAUGAUGUAUUGACUAGUGGGACCACCGUAUCCUGAAAAUCAGCCCGGAAAAACAAACAAAGAAACAAAACUAUGGCUAUCCGUUUUCUUCUUCAACAGCCUUUCUCCAGUUAAUAUCGGGGACAAGUGAGGUCCUCUAGGUUUCUAUUCCCAAGUGUUUAAUUUAUUAAAGCUAUUGCUACUGUCAAAAGCAAGGAGGACUAUGUAAGUAGGUGGUGAGUUUCCCUUGAUACCAACUUCACAAGAAAGCGGGCAGUGCCCUUCCGAGACUGCUCUUUACAGACACCGCGCUUCUCAGGAUUCUGUGGGAGAGCUUCUAGCCCCAAACCACAGUGAGAAACAUGGAGAACAGGCAGGUCUCACAUAAGGAACAAGGAUAGGAUUAUUCCAGUUUCUCUUCUAACUAGCUGAGGAGUUCAGAGAUGAACUUGAAGUGGUCCUCCACAGGUAAAUGAUAACUUGUUUUCAUUAAUGAAGAAACAUGCUCUAUGUAUAUUAUUCAAUAUUGAUAACUGUAAAAGGAAAAUUACUGCUCUCUUACCUUACCACCUAUUUUACCAAUCUAUUUCUUCUAAGUCAAAAUAAGUCAUAAUCACAUGGAAAGUUAAACCAAAGCCACAUGGCAUGAACAGUAGAGCAGAUGAAUGCUGAGGUUUUAAGAUAUUGAAUACCAUACAGCAAGAGACUGAAAGAAAAUACACCUGGAAACAUCACUGCAUGCCAUAAAAUACCUUGAGCCAAAGACACCAUCUAUCAUGAAAUGUGUGCCGAUUUACUGUAUUUUUGAUAAUCUAAAGCAGGAAGACUCAUUAAUAUCAUUAGAUGUUAUAGUGG